rnacentral:rRNA from 1 species
UAUAUUUUAUAAAUUAUUUAAUUAAAUCUACAAAUAUAAGAAAUUAUAAGCAUAUAUUAUAUAUAUAUAUAAAUAUAGUAAUAGAAAAUUAUAAUAAUAAAAAGUAAAUAAAU